CAAGCCUGCCUGUAGCAAGUUCAUGAGUCAAGCACAGGCAUUGAAUCCCAGCAUGUCAGAGCAUCGACAGCAUCUUCAUCUUUCAGCUACUCCCAGGCCAUUCACUUACCACAUAGACAAAUAUCUGCAUUUUUGUAGAUAAAAUGAAUGCAGGAGGAGCUAUUUCCAAAGACGGAUGACUGUUCUUUUUCCUUCAGCAAAGUUUAAAAAGGGCUGGAAGCAGAAUGGAAAAGGCUGUCAUCUGAAUUAGUCAAUGAAAGGAAAGGAUCGUUUCUCCGCAUGGUGAGAGCUCUGUGGCCUCCUCGACAACAGGGAGAUGUGAAAGCUGAGACCGGGAAAGAUGAAGUCAUUUAUCCAGGUCUUUUAAAUGCCAAAGCCCAAGCUAGAAUCACUACUGUGCUGCCUGAAUGAACAGGUACAAUGCCAUUGCAAUGGGAAGAAGAAAGAUGGCCCCACCUGGACCCACCAACUCCAACCACUCCCGUGUCCCCUCCCAGAAGUGACUCUGUGUGUAGGAGGACCAUUUCCUACACCUUUAUGAUGACACCUCCAACCAAUCAACAGCAAGCACACAUUGCCUAGUCACCCCCAACCCUUCCCCCAAACUACCUUGGAAAAACCCUAGCCCCCAAAUGCUCAGAAAGAUGGAUUUGAGUAAUAACUCAAUUUUUCACAUGGAGUAGCCAGCCUUGCAUCAAUCAAACUCUUUCUUUCCUGCAAUGCUAUUGUCAGAGGCAUUUGAACCAGAGCAACUCCAUCUUGAAUAGAAGCUGGGUAACAUGAGGCUGUGACCUACUGGGCUGCAUUUCCAGACAGUUAAGGAAUUCUAAGUCACAGAUAAGAUAGGAGGUCAGCACAAGAUACAGGUCAUAAAGACCUUGCUGAUAAAACAGGUUGCAGUAAAGAAGCCGGCCAAAACCCACCAAAACCAAGAUGGCCACAAGAGUAACUUCUGGUCGUUUUUGCUGCUACACUCCCAUCAGAGCCAUGACAGCUUACAAAUGCCAUGGCAACGUCAGAAAGUUACCCUAUAUGGUCUAAAAGGGGGAGGCAUGAAUAAUCCACCCCUUGUUUAGCAUAUCAUCAAGAAAUAACCAUAAAAAUGGGUAACCAGCAGCCCUCUGGUCUGCUCUGUCUAUGGAAUAGCCAUUCUUUUAUUCCUUUACUUUCCUAAUAAACUUGCUUUCACUUUA
rnacentral:lncRNA from 1 species